UUUGGACAAUUCUCCUGCAUAUAGUCUCGCAGACUGUAUGGUGUGUCUUUAUCGAUAUAGAGAAUUUGGGCAAGAUGUGCAAAUGCUACAACGUCCAACUGUUUGGAAUGAAAUGGAAAGAAAUUUAUAAGAGUCGGUUCGUCUCCAAAGAAGAAAGGCUUGUCUGCAAGCAUGUCAGAAAGAACUUUAAGAUCGGCGCAACCGAAUUGGGACACCUCUUCUGGAUUAUAGAUAAUAGAUAACUAUCGUGAGAAGGAAUGAAAGAAAAAAACGAAAUUUAUAAUUAAUAUUUACCUUACGACCGACCGUGAGUUUGAAAAAGAAAUUGAGAAUGCCAUUGGGGAUACGAGUACCCAGCA